CCUCUCAUCUCUCUCGUGUUUAAGGCAAGGAUUUGGCUCCAUUUUAACGCUCUCUCCUGUUUUUCUUCUGUUAGUUUUCAAUUCUUAGAAUUCUUUGUGAUUUUCGUUUAUGGAAAACUAAUCUCCAUAGCUACGGCUAGGAGAGAAACCUACACUGUAACUAUGUACUUCUAUUAUUUUGAUUUUAUUUUGGAUUUUCAGGUUGGAAUUUCUUAUUUAAUCUAUUUUUGGAAUGAUGAAUAUUAGUUAUGAUCCAUAGGAUCAACCCUUUUUUUCUUGGUAUAGUUCCGUUUCAACAUUCAUGCUUUCAAUGAACUGUAUAUAUUGAUUGAUUGGUAUGCUUUUGAUGACGUAGUUUUUUUUUAUAUUUUGUCGUUGUAGGCAUAAAUCGAACAUCCAAAAUGGAGAUUUAAUCACCAAAAGCUUUCAUAUUGAGAAAACUUAAUUGUCAUAGCUUCUGAUUGAGGGCGCACGUUGUUUGUUUAUCAGUUAAAGUUAUAAAAAUGAAUUGAAAUAGUGGAAUUGCAUAAUUGUAUAUAGGCAGAACCCCAAUGCUUUAAUGCUAUUUGGAGCAUAUGGUAUCUACAAAACAAGAUCCUGUUAUACCGCCUUCAGUUAAUGGAAUAGAAUUCCAUCUUGCUAAGCAUUUAAAAUGCCACAGAAAUGUUUCCACAGGAUGAGUCAACCGAAAUAUUUCCGCAGAUUUCCAUCUUGCUGGUUGUGCUAUAUAUAUGUUGGACAAUUUGAGCAUUACCCUGCUAAUCCAAUAUGGCUUUUCAGACGCAAACGCCUCAAAGUUUGUUACAUUUCCAGAUCAGGCAUCAAUCCUAUCUGGAUAAUUUCUUUAACAAGCCUCAAAGCUUCACCGAUUCUGUUGACCAAGGUUUUAUGGGAAGCAAUAUCAGGCGCAUAACCCAUAAUCACCAUUAAGUUCAAGACCACCUUCGCCUUUUCCAUUCUGCCCUGCAAACAAUAUUCACUAACCAGCAUACUGCAAGUUAUUGUGCUGAGUUUCAUACCGUAUUCAAUUGUUGCCUCAAAUAUUUUGUUAGUCUCUUCUGUCAUCCCAGCAUCCAAUAGUAUUACCAAAGUAACGGUAUCAGGCAAGAGUCCCCGGCCUAUCAUAUCAUCAAACAACCUUGUGGCCUCUUCCCAUUGAGCUGUACGGCACAUGCCAUUGGUUAAACUGUUGUAAGUGAUAACAUUUAGGGCAAUACCUUCAUCCAGCAUUCUAUUAAACACCCUUGUAGCUUCUCUCCAGUGGCUGGUCCAGCACAAUCCAUUAAUUAAGGAGCUGUAAGUCACAACAUCAGGCCUUUCCUCUCUACGGAUCAUUUCUUCCACAAGAUUCAGUGCCUCUGCUGUCUUCCCUUCCUUGCAUAAAGCAUCCAGUACAGAAUUAUAUGUAACAAUAUUAGGCAAGGCUCCAUAACCAAUCAUGGUUUUAAAUAAACUCACACCUUCCUCCCAGUUACCAGACUUGCAUGAAGCAGAAAUCAAGCAAUUAAAAGUGACAAGAUCAGGUUUUAUGCCUCUCAUUGUCAUCUUUUCAAACAGAGUAAGCGCUUCUUGAAUUCUUUCUUCCUUGCAAAUACCGCUGAUAAGAACAGUAUAUGUGUAUACACUGGGUGAAAUUCCACUGUCAAGCAUACAAAUCAAGAAGCUCUUGGCUUUUUCCAACCUCCCCGAUUGGCACAAUGCAUAAAUUAGAGCGGAGUAGGUGAGAACAUCUGGCCUGACUCCUUGAUCUUCCAUUGCUUCAAAAAGAGAGAACACUUCUUCCCAGCAAUUCAUGUUGCAUAACCCAUGAAUCAAAGUGUUAUAAGUGAUAAUACCCGGUACAACACUUUUGUAGAUCAUAUCUCUAAAUAGGGUCAAGGCCUCAUCUAUUCGUCUUUCUUUACAGAGGCUAUCUAUGAUGGGAUUGUAGCAGUCUUGUUUGGGCUUGAACCUUCCAUCUUCCAACAUAUUCGUAAGUAUCUCGAGUGCCUUAGAAGUUUUCCCAGCCUUGCAUAGCCGAUUGAUCAUGGUCGCAUAAGUGAUUUCAUCGCACGUGUAUCCCUUCUCUUCGAUUUCCUGGAAGAACUCCAAUGCCUCGGCCCGAGACUAUCUUGCAAAGUCCAUGGAGCAAAGUAUUUAUAGAAUGAGCGUUGGGUUGAAGACCGUAUUUAAGGGUGAUUGCUAAAACAGAGAAACCCAAGUCCAUCCGGUUCAGACGGCACACGCAAUUCAGAAAAAUAGUCAUCGUACUGACAUCAGGUCGGAAUUGAGCGCAACCCAUCAACUGUUUACGCAUAGAAACCACAGCAGAAUAUUCCUUCAUCUUGGAGAGUGCCCCAAACAAACAAUUGAAAGUCCAAAUAGAGGGCAAGGGUUUGGUUUGAAUCAUGGAAUCGAAGUACCCCAAUGCUUCAUCUUUCCUAAUUUUUCCAGAUUUGCAUCGAGUUUGAAUCAAAUUGUCCGAUUCCGAAUGGGUUUGUUUAAAUCUAUCUGUACUAGUAGCAUUACCAGCAGCGGAAUGAAAUCCAUCUUUUUUGUGCAGAAAGGUAAAAAUGAAUGAAGGAGUACCUGUUGAGUUAGGAAGUCUCGUGGUUAUCACCUUUAUCUUCAUCUUCCACAGAUUCAGCCCAGUUCAUGAAAUCCCAUGAAUUUCAAUCCUUCUCUAGAAUCAAGCUGCAAUUGAAAAGAAGCUGUCUUCAAUUGGUUCUUGUUUCAAACCCUAAUUCUGUAUUCCGAAAAACACUACCCUUAUGCUCAUUACAUAAAAUAUGCGACAUGUAUUUACAGUGUUAUAAUCUAUAUAUCUAUAUAAGACUAAAGAGGUGAAGUUUCUAAAAAGUUCUUAAAUACCGCUUUAUUUUUUCAAAUUUUUUAAGGACUACAACUUGUGUAAUUAAAAAGAAAAAAACCUGAAACUUUCAUAAUACCUAAAUUGCCUUUCUAUUAUUAAGAGCUUCCAAACAAAUAAAGGAUGAAAAAAAACGCAGUGGGAUUGUGAUUGGUUUGUAAGUUCAUUAUUUUACAGAAUAUAUUUUAUAACACCAAGUUACUGUGCAUUUAGGUCAUCUAUAACCGAAGGAGUAGCCCUCUGACUCUUCAAGAAAUUAAUAUUUUAAUAAACAGUGCAAGGUCAUAUUGUUUACCAUCUCCAACCGAGGGCCAAACAUAGUCAUGUGAUAAAAAAUCAUCUCCAACCAAGGGACAAAGUGUCAUAAGGCCAAACAUAAUUUAUUAUUUAAAUUUAAAAAUUACAACAACUUCAAUUUAAAAACUACAUCUUAUAUUUAAAAACUACAACUUAAACUUAAAUUUACUGUAAUUUCAUGUUACUUAAUGUUAUUUAAGAAGUUAUUUCCAGAAACUGGUGAACUAUACCGAAGUAAACUUGACGACCCCGACUUCACAUUCUUCAACGCGUCCAAGAAGGCCAUUGAUAUACGAUUCCUCUCAUCUCUCUCUUGUGUUUAAGCAAGGAUUUGGCUCCAUUUUAGCGCUCUCUCCUGUUUUUCUUCUGUUAGUUUUCAAUUCUUAGGAUUCUUUGUGAUUUUCGUUUACGGAAACCUAAUCUCCAUAGCUAGGCUAGGAGAGAAACCUACACUAUAACUAUGUACUUUUAUUAUUUUGAUUUUAUUUUGGAUUUUCAAUGUCAAAUUUAUAUUGUGGAAUUUCUUGUUUAAUCUAUUUUUGGAAUGAUGAAUAUUAGUU
rnacentral:lncRNA from 1 species